rnacentral:lncRNA from 1 species
UGGCUUCCGAAAGCGACGUUGGGAAGAGAGUAACAGAGGUCUAUGGAACCGUCCAUGUUCCCGCACGACAUGCAACAAACGACGCCUGCAGAAUCGCGCGAUGACCAAGUCGGCACUAGUGUAAUGCACUUGAUCCUGACAGAUAUUUUACACCGUCAAACCUUUCCAUUGACAGAAAGCGCCUAGACCCCAGCCGCUUUUGUCCGGCAAUGUCGUCCACUGGCGUCCUCCGGUUGCGUUAAAUAGUUCCAUUAGUACAUGCCUGAACAAAAUAGUACUGUUAAUUAUGAAAUUAGUGCAAAAGCGCGACGGCGCUUUAGCGAGCGACGAUGGCCGGUGAACCUCAUCGCCUGAUUGCCCUGGCUUACCUCUGUCGCUCCACGGUUAAUUUAUCAACCCGGUGACCAAGUAUAGUUGCGCGUCCAGUGCUUGCCCAUAAAAGGAGGCAUGUGAUAAGGCCGGCGACAGCAAAUCCACGGCGGGAUGCCGUUUCAGUAGAUAUUCCCAUUCAAUUUAUCUUUGUUAUGGGCUGGCAACCGUGAGACGUCUGGCCCCAAGACAUGCUGUUAAGGAAUGGGAAAAAGUUAUGUACGCAGGUUACCGGUCUACUGCCUGUUUAACUAGGACAGCUGUAUGCGUUGCCUAUAACUUGACGUAGGCUUGUA